rnacentral:rRNA from 1 species
CACUCUAAGCGGUGGAUCACUCGGCUCAUGGGUCGAUGAAGAACGCAGCAAACUGUGCGUCAUCGUGUGAACUGCAGGACACAUGAACAUCGACAUUUUGAACGCAUAUGGCAGUCCAUGCUGUUUGGUACUUUAAUUAAU